rnacentral:rRNA from 1 species
UACGGGGGGAGCAAGCGUUGUUCGGAUUUACUGGGCGUAAAGGGCGCGUAGGCGGCCAGCGCAAGUCAGUUGUGAAAUCUCCGGGCUUAACUCGGAAAGGUCAACUGAUACUGCGCGGCUAGAGUGCAGAAGGGGCAACUGGAAAUCUCGGUGUAGCGGUGAAAUGCGUAGAUAUCGUAAGGAAGACCAGUGGCGAAGGCGGGUCUCUGGACAGUUCCUGACGCUGAGGCACGAAGGCCAGGGGAGCAAACGGG